rnacentral:rRNA from 1 species
GCACGGUCAGCAAUGGCAGUGGCGGACGGGUGAGUAACGCGUAGGAAUCUAUCCUUGAAUGGGGGACAACCGUGGGAAACUACGGCUAAUACCGCAUGAUGCCUGAGGGCCAAAGACGUAAGUCGUUUGAGGAGGAGCCUGCGUCUGAUUAGCUUGUUGGUGGGGUAAAGGCUUACCAAGGCGACGAUCAGUAGCUGGUCUGAGAGGAUGAUCAGCCACAUUGGGACUGAGACACGGCCCAAACUCCUACGGGAGGCAGCAGUGGGGAAUAUUGGACAAUGGGCGAAAGCCUGAUCCAGCAAUGCCGCGUGUGUGAAGAAGGUCUUCGGAUUGUAAAGCACUUUUGGCAGGGACGAUGAUGACGGUACCUGCAGAAUAAGCCCCGGCUAACUUCGUGCCAGCAGCCGCGGUAAUACGAAGGGGGCUAGCGUUGCUCGGAAUGACUGGGCGUAAAGGGCGCGUAGGCGGUUUAUACAGUCAGAUGUGAAAUUCCUGGGCUCAACCUGGGGACUGCAUUUGAGACGUAUGGACUUGAGUGGAGAAGAGGGUCGUGGAAUUUCCAGUGUAGAGGUGAAAUUCGUAGAUAUUGGAAAGAACACCGGUGGCGAA